rnacentral:rRNA from 1 species
UUAAGCGACUAAGCGUACACGGUGGAUGCCCUGGCAGUCAGAGGCGAUGAAGGACGUGCUAAUCUGCGAUAAGCGCCGGUAAGGUGAUAUGAACCGUUAUAACCGGCGAUUUCCGAAUGGGGAAACCCAGUGUGACUCGUCACACUAUCAUUAACUGAAUCCAUAGGUUAAUGAGGCGAACCGGGGGAACUGAAACAUCUAAGUACCCCGAGGAAAAGAAAUCAACCGAGAUUCCCCCAGUAGCGGCGAGCGAACGGGGAGGAGCCCAGAGCCUGAAUCAGCAUGUGUGUUAGUGGAAGCGUCUGGAAAGGCGCGCGAUACAGGGUGACAGCCCCGUACACAAAAGCGCAUGUGCUGUGAGCUCGAUGAGUAGGGCGGGACACGUGGUAUCCUGUCUGAAUAUGGGGGGACCAUCCUCCAAGGCUAAAUACUCCUGACUGACCGAUAGUGAACCAGUACCGUGAGGGAAAGGCGAAAAGAACCCCGGCGAGGGGAGUGAAAAAGAACCUGAAACCGUGUACGUACAAGCAGUGGGAGCACCCUUUGGGGUGUGACUGCGUACCUUUUGUAUAAUGGGUCAGCGACUUAUAUUCUGUAGCAAGGUUAACCGAAUAGGGGAGCCGGAGGGAAACCGAGUCUUAAUUGGGCGUUAAGUUGCAGGGUAUAGACCCGAAACCCGGUGAUCUAGCCAUGGGCAGGUUGAAGGUUGGGUAACACUAACUGGAGGACCGAACCGACUAAUGUUGAAAAAUUAGCGGAUGACCUGUGGCUGGGGGUGAAAGGCCAAUCAAACCGGGAGAUAGCUGGUUCUCCCCGAAAGCUAUUUAGGUAGCGCCUCGUGAAUUCAUCUCCGGGGGUAGAGCACUGUUUCGGCUAGGGGGCCAUCCCGGCUUACCAACCCGAUGCAAACUGCGAAUACCGGAGAAUGUUAUCACGGGAGACACACGGCGGGUGCUAACGUCCGUCGUGAAGAGGGAAACAACCCAGACCGCCAGCUAAGGUCCCAAAGUCAUGGUUAAGUGGGAAACGAUGUGGGAAGGCCCAGACAGCCAGGAUGUUGGCUUAGAAGCAGCCAUCAUUUAAAGAAAGCGUAAUAGCUCACUGGUCGAGUCGGCCUGCGCGGAAGAUGUAACGGGGCUAAACCAUGCACCGAAGCUGCGGCAGCGACACUAUGUGUUGUUGGGUAGGGGAGCGUUCUGUAAGCCUGUGAAGGUGGCCUGUGAGGGUUGCUGGAGGUAUCAGAAGUGCGAAUGCUGACAUAAGUAACGAUAAAGCGGGUGAAAAGCCCGCUCGCCGGAAGACCAAGGGUUCCUGUCCAACGUUAAUCGGGGCAGGGUGAGUCGACCCCUAAGGCGAGGCCGAAAGGCGUAGUCGAUGGGAAACGGGUUAAUAUUCCCGUACUUGGUGUUACUGCGAAGGGGGGACGGAGAAGGCUAUGUUGGCCGGGCGACGGUUGUCCCGGUUUAAGCGUGUAGGCUGGUUUUCCAGGCAAAUCCGGAAAAUCAAGGCUGAGGCGUGACGACGAGGCACUACGGUGCUGAAGCAACAAAUGCCCUGCUUCCAGGAAAAGCCUCUAAGCAUCAGGUAACAUCAAAUCGUACCCCAAACCGACACAGGUGGUCAGGUAGAGAAUACCAAGGCGCUUGAGAGAACUCGGGUGAAGGAACUAGGCAAAAUGGUGCCGUAACUUCGGGAGAAGGCACGCUGACAUGUAGGUGAAGUGAUUUACUCAUGGAGCUGAAGUCAGUCGAAGAUACCAGCUGGCUGCAACUGUUUAUUAAAAACACAGCACUGUGCAAACACGAAAGUGGACGUAUACGGUGUGACGCCUGCCCGGUGCCGGAAGGUUAAUUGAUGGGGUCAGCGCAAGCGAAGCUCCUGAUCGAAGCCCCGGUAAACGGCGGCCGUAACUAUAACGGUCCUAAGGUAGCGAAAUUCCUUGUCGGGUAAGUUCCGACCUGCACGAAUGGCGUAAUGAUGGCCAGGCUGUCUCCACCCGAGACUCAGUGAAAUUGAACUCGCUGUGAAGAUGCAGUGUACCCGCGGCAAGACGGAAAGACCCCGUGAACCUUUACUAUAGCUUGACACUGAACAUUGAGCCUUGAUGUGUAGGAUAGGUGGGAGGCUUUGAAGUGUGGACGCCAGUCUGCAUGGAGCCGGCCUUGAAAUACCACCCUUUAAUGUUUGAUGUUCUAACGUGGACCCGUAAUCCGGGUUGCGGACAGUGUCUGGUGGGUAGUUUGACUGGGGCGGUCUCCUCCUAAAGAGUAACGGAGGAGCACGAAGGUUGGCUAAUCCUGGUCGGACAUCAGGAGGUUAGUGCAAUGGCAUAAGCCAGCUUGACUGCGAGCGUGACGGCGCGAGCAGGUGCGAAAGCAGGUCAUAGUGAUCCGGUGGUUCUGAAUGGAAGGGCCAUCGCUCAACGGAUAAAAGGUACUCCGGGGAUAACAGGCUGAUACCGCCCAAGAGUUCAUAUCGACGGCGGUGUUUGGCACCUCGAUGUCGGCUCAUCACAUCCUGGGGCUGAAGUAGGUCCCAAGGGUAUGGCUGUUCGCCAUUUAAAGUGGUACGCGAGCUGGGUUUAGAACGUCGUGAGACAGUUCGGUCCCUAUCUGCCGUGGGCGCUGGAGAACUGAGGGGGGCUGCUCCUAGUACGAGAGGACCGGAGUGGACGCAUCACUGGUGUUCGGGUUGUCAUGCCAAUGGCACUGCCCGGUAGCUAAAUGCGGAAGAGAUAAGUGCUGAAAGCAUCUAAGCACGAAACUUGCCCCGAGAUGAGUUCUCCCUGAGACUUUAGGUCUCCUGAAGGAACGUUGAAGACGACGACGUUGAUAGGCCGGGUGUGUAAGCGCAGCGAUGCGUUGAGCUAACCGGUACUAAUGAACCGUGAGGCUUAACCUU